rnacentral:rRNA from 1 species
UACGGAGGGUGCGAGCGUUGUCCGGAAUCACUGGGCGUAAAGGGCGCGUAGGUGGCGCGGGAAGUCAACGGUGAAAGUUCGGGGCUCAACCCUGAAUCGGCCGUCGAUACUCCCGGGCUCGAGCACUGUAGAGGCAGAUGGAAUUCCGGGUGUAGCGGUGGAAUGCGUAGAGAUCCGGAAGACACCGGUGGCGAAGGCGGUCUGCUGGGCAGUUGCUGACACUGAGGCGCGACAGCGUGGGGAGCAAACAGGG